CAGUCGCCACGGGAAUACGAGGGGGGCAAGCGUUGUUCGGAAUUAUUGGGCGUAAAGGGCGCGUAGGCGGUUUGACAAGUUUCAUGUGAAAUCUAUGGGCUCAACCCAUAGUCUGCAUGGGAAACUGUCGGGCUUGAGUAUGGGAGAGGUGAGUGGAAUUUCCGGUGUAGCGGUGAAAUGCGUAGAUAUCGGAAGGAACACCUGAGGCGAAAGCGGCUCACUGGACCAUAACUGACGCUGAGGCGCGAAAGCUAGGGGAGCAAACAGGAUUAGAUACCCGCGUAGUCCCUGUCUCUUAUAC
rnacentral:rRNA from 1 species